GGGUGUCUGUAAUCUAGCCUCGGAGAAAGGGGGUGGCUUUAAUCCCGGCGGAAAGGGGGCCGCGGCCUAUCUAUUGGGGUGAGUCGAAAACGGGGUGGGGAGAUGUAAUCCGGAUGGGGGGUUGUAAACAGCCCCAGAGAGGAUCUUUAAUCCGGACCCUGAAUGCGAGGGAGGGUGUUUAAUCCGGCGUUUGGGGGUUAUAAUCCGGAGUCCCUUUUGUGAGGGAGAGGAGUGCUUAAUCCCGCGGAUUCCCGAGUCUCGGGGAGAAUCGCGUGCGGGGGUGGGUGUCCCAGUCGGGGGAAGAAAGGGCUGAAAUGUGAUUUUCCGUCUCGGUCCGGAGCUGUGGCAGGUAAAGUGCCUGCGUUUUGCCACGCCCACCCCGUGCCCUCCGGCAGGCUUGCUGUGGCCACCCGUGUUACACAGGAGGAGGCAUGUUCUCCUUUGCCAUUCGCACUGGGGGGGCGGCACCCGCGCCUUCUCCAGUCCAGGGCGGAUCCUUUGCCUCAAAUCGGGGAGUGAGGUAGUGGUUGUUCUGCCCCAUAGGCGGGCAGUGGUCGCUGUCCUGGAGAAGGAGGGAUGAUUCCCCCCACUCCCUACUUGCAUUCCUUCGUGAAGCCUCCAUACGUGGUGGCCCCCCCACCUGGACAAAUUCUCCCUACGGGGAAAUAGGGUGAUUUGUAGUUUAUCCUCUUCCAACCAGGUGAGAGAUGUCUCGCUCCGAAGUUUACAUUCAAAAGCAGGUGCCAAGCAGCAAGGAUUUGUUGCAAUGAUAGGACUCUGCACUUCCUUUCCUCCACCCAGCUAUCACCAACACCGAAGACUUCCCCUAAUUUUCAUCCCUAGGGAUGCCCCAUCAGGUUUGAAGAGAUUGUGCCACAGAUACUCGGAUGUAUGGAAUAUAUGAAGAAAGCUCUCUCCCCUUCCAUGGCCCCAUAACCCUGGAAAUGGGUCCCCUCUGCUUUUGAAAGUGGAGAACUAUACUUCACACCUUGAAUACAGUGAAUGUCCAGAAUUCUUUUCCAGGGUUAGAAAUCAUAGAAGUUGCAUAUGGAAAGGACAGACUGGGUCUGUGGAGCACAAUCCAUGGUCGUCCUCUUCAGUAAAUUUAUCACAUGAGUAUUGACAAGAGUGGAUUGUGGGAUUAGGAGGGGAGAGAUGGAUGCAUGUGCUGGUUAGGGCAAGCUGAUCCAGAGUCUUCAGCUGCAGUUGGUCAAGAAAGUUUACAUACUAACUGCAAUAUUUAUCACUAUAUCCAAGCAUGAAGCCACAGCUUAACUUUCAACAAAAGAGAAAAUAUUAUAUUCUGAUUAUAUUCUGGUAUUAGUAAUACAUAACUUUGCAGCUGCUAGGGGAUCAGAAGAGCUUUACAAAGAAAUGCAAGAGUUUUAAUGGUUAGCUCUACUGGAAUAACCUUUUCUACUUGUGAACAAAAACUUCAGAACUGUGAACUCUUGGCCUUAUGCUGAAUGGAUCAAAAAUGUCGAGACUCGUAGACUUUAAGGUCAGAAGGGACCAUCAUAAUUAUCUAGUCUAACCCACUGGACAUUGCAAGCUACAGAACCUCAUCCACCCACUCCAUAAUAGACCCAUAACCUCUGGCUGAGUCACUGAAGUCCUCAAAACAUAACUUAAAGUUACAGAAAAACCACCAUUUACACUAGCUUUAAUUUCCAAGUGACCCAGGCUUCAGAGGAAGGUGAAACCCCCACAGAGUUUCUGCCAAUCUGAGCCUGGGGAAAUUCCUUCCCAACCCUAAAUAUGGUGAUCAAUUAGACCUUGAUCAUGUGGGCAAGACCCACCAGACACCUGGAAAAUAAUUCUUUGUAGUAACUCCAAGCCCUCCCCAUCUGGUGUCCCGUCAUCGGCUGUUGGAGAUUGGCUACCUGCUAUUGUAGGCAGUCUCAUCAUACCAUCCCCUCCAUAAACUUAUCAAACUCAGUUUUGAAGCCAAUUAGGUUUUGUGCCCCCACUACUCCCCUUGGAAUAAUUCAGAGACUUUCAAGAUGACAAAAAUAUUCAAAUUAUUUACAGACCUAUGUUCAGUUGAACUUCCAAAAAGCUGAGGCCUAACCUGAGCUAGGACUCGUUGUCUUACAAUCUUCUGAUCCAAGUUUAGUGAAAGAAACUUAUUGCAGCUUUACUAAUGACCAUUGAUUGGCAGAUAUCCACUUCUGUGAGGGCUGCUAUUUGUGAAGGCUUCCUUUAAGUGUGUAAAUGCCAGAGUAUGAUAUCCUCACAGAGUAGAGACUUAGAUUGAGAUUAAUGAAGGGAUGUAGGUAUUGUAAUGCUGAGCAUCACAGCACCUAAUUUUUGGGUGCCUAGAAAAAUCACAGGAACAAAACUGCAAUCCAAAAAGUCUAGGCUCCAGGCACAAUGAAUAGGGAGAAAGAAGUGCCUAAGAAUGUGAUCCUCAAAAGCCUGCACUCUAGGUGUGGUGCCUCCUAAAAUAGCCAAUGGGAGAUGCGGAUGAGAGGGGUAUGAGCUAAGCCCUGCUCCUCUCUUGGAUUUAAGCGCCUUAUCUGGGCUGCAUGGAGGCAUCUACCUUUGCUUAGCAAUCCAUGAAUAAGAACCUGACACCUGGAGUCUUUCUUCCAAGGAGCAGAUUUUUGUCUUUCUGUGUAUUUUGUAAAACAUAUGUGCAUUUACACAUAUUUAGCUGAUUAAACAAAUUAGUUAGGGCCUUGCGAAUCCUCCCAGGUUAGCAGUUGUGGUCCUCACAGCAAAGGGUUAUGCACAGUUGCUGAAAUAUGUCAUUUCUCCAAAAGCAGGUAGCUCAUUGUUUAACAAGGAAAAUAUUUUGUAAAACUUAUCAGCUGUUACGGUUUGUAUAAUAGCCAAAUACUAGAAAUGUAACAAAUCUCCAUUUAAAAGUAAGAUUUAUAGACCUUUAGGGCUUUUAAACUAGAUCUGCUAGUAAGGCUUUUUAUUACCAAGUUAUGUUUAGUAGUCUCAGUUGAGAGAUAUUGUUCUAAGAAUUUGGGACCUUAUGCUUCUAUGAUGCCAUUUUUAAACUGUCAUUGAAACAGACUGAUAUCCAGAAGAAAAUAUUUUUCCUGAUCUUUUUAAACAUCUUUGUUAUCUAUAAAAUUAGGAUUUGUUUUCUAGAGUUUCCAAGUUGUAGACUGCAGACAGCAGGCUGGUCACAUGGUGCUGACUCCUCCUCCUUG